AGGUGGCAAUUUAAAGGACCUAAUUGGACUUUAAUCAACAACUUACUUACUAAGGGAAUGAGAUAUAUUCUCAGAUUUUCCUUCAUGAUUCAAAAAGAAAUAAAAAGAAGAGAUAAGAGAGAAAAGCUAUGGAGAAGUGAAAAUGGAGUGUUUGAUUUCAAAACGAGCUACGGAACUCGUUUCUCGUCCAAAUUGGAUGAUUCUUGCGGCCACGGAACGAGAAAAUGAUUAUCUACAGAUCUAUGGCUUCAAUUUGAGGAGCUAUGAUUAUGGAAUUUUGAUGGUUGUUCAUGGAGGAAUUCAUUCAGUCAAAGGGUUAUACCAUCAAACAAAGAUUCGACGAGGCGACUAUCGACGGAGUUCAAAGUUCUUGAAUCGAGAUUAACGCUUUGCUUGAUUAGAGUAAAUGGAUAGCAAGUGGAAUAGUAUGAUAUGAUUUGGAGAGUCAAGCUUCCGAAGUUUUAAAUUCUCGGAAGUCAUUUGCACAAGAAGUUAAAGAAGGUUUUCAUUCUAGCGGUCCGCAGUAGUCUAGAUGUCUUUGUCUAUGUAUUUAUAUAGCGCAUUUUAACUCUGAUAUUUUUGUAAAAUGGGGUCACAUGUAUUUUGAUAUAUGAAAAAUGAUUCGAUUUGCGAAAAA